ACGGCUCAGUAACACGUCGGUAACCUACCCUCGGGAGGGGGAUAACCCCGGGAAACUGGGGCUAAUCCCCCAUAGGCCUGAGGUACUGGAAGGUCCUCAGGCCGAAAGGGGCUUUUGCCCGCCCGAGGAUGGGCCGGCGGCCGAUUAGGUAGUUGGUGGGGUAACGGCCCACCAAGCCGAAGAUCGGUACGGGCUGUGAAAGCAGGAGCCCGGAGAUGGACACUGAGACACGGGUCCAGGCCCUACGGGGCGCAGCAGGCGCGAAACCUCCGCAAUGCGGGAAACCGCGACGGGGGGACCCCGAGUGCCGUGGCAUCGCCACGGCUUUUCCGGAGUGUAAAAAGCUCCGGGAAUAAGGGCUGGGCAGGGCCGGUGGCAGCCGCCGCGGUAA
rnacentral:rRNA from 1 species